rnacentral:rRNA from 1 species
AUUGAACGCUGGCGGAAUGCUUUACACAUGCAAGUCGAGCGGCAGCACGGGGGCAGCCCUGGUUGCGAGUGGCGAACGGGUGAGUAAUACAUCGGAACGUGCCCGGUCGUGGGGGAUAACGUAGCGAAAGUUACGCUAAUACCGCAUACGAUCUGAGGAUGAAAGCGGGGGACCUUCGGGCCUCGCGCGAUCGGAGCGGCCGAUGUCAGAGUAGGUAGUUGGUGGGGUAAAGGCCUACCAAGCCGACGAUCUGUAGCUGGUCUGAGAGGACGACCAGCCACACUGGGACUGAGACACGGCCCAGACUCCUACGGGAGGCAGCAGUGGGGAAUUUUGGACAAUGGGCGCAAGCCUGAUCCAGCCAUUCCGCGUGCAGGACGAAGGCCUUCGGGUUGUAAACUGCUUUUGUACGGAACGAAAAGGCUCUGGCUAAUACCUGGGGCUCAUGACGGUACCGUAAGAAUAAGCACCGGCUAACUACGUG